GCCGCUGUGGCGAAACUGGCAGACGCACAGGAUUCAAAAUCCUGUUGUAGUGAUACAGUAUCGGUUCGAUUCCGAUCAGCGGCACCA
rnacentral:tRNA from 1 species